rnacentral:rRNA from 1 species
GACGAACGCUGGCGGCGUGCUUAACACAUGCAAGUCGAACGGAAAGGCCCUGCUUUUGUGUGGUGCUCGAGUGGCGAACGGGUGAGUAACACGUGAGUAACCUGCCCUGGACUUUGGGAUAACUUCAGGAAACUGGUGCUAAUACCGGAUAGGAGCUCCUGCUGCAUGGUGGGGGUUGGAAAGUUUCGGCGGUUGGGGAUGGACUCGCGGCUUAUCAGCUUGUUGGUGGGGUAGUGGCUUACCAAGUCUUUGACGGGUAGCCGGCCUGGGAGGGUGACCGGCCACAUGGGGACUGAGAUACGGCCCAGAGUCCUAUGGGGGGCAGCAGUCGGGAAUAUUGCCCAGUGGGCGGGAGCCUGAUGAGGAAGCGCCGCGUGCGGGAUGACGGCCUUCGGGUUGUAAACCGCUUUCGCCUGUGACGAAGCGUGAGUGACGGUAAUGGGUAAAGAAGCACCGGCUAACUACGUG